CCCUUCUUGCCAUGGGACUCCAGGAGCACAUGAUUUAACAACUUGUAGCCUGAACUGUACAUUUGUUAUUGUGUGGGAGGGCAGUAAGUCACACAGUACUGGGCAUGGGGAUGGCAAUCACUGUGUUACCCAUUUCCAUUGCCAAAUUCCAGCAGGAAUGCUUUCUCAGUGCUCUCAGUGCUCCUAGUAAAGUUUCUCAAUUCUUCAAAAGCAAAAAAAUACAGCAAAUGAAAGGAAUUUGAACAGAGCAAUGAAAAGAAACAGUACCAGCAGUCUGAUUUCCAGGUGAUUUUUCUUCUGUGGGAAAAGUAAAAGGGAUUUGUACACAGAGACUAAAAGGGGCAAAAGAUGCAUCUUGGCAGCAGCAGAGGUGAGGCAGUGUUGUUCAUUUUCCACACAAGAGUUACAGACUCUUCUGUUUCUUGGUAUAUCCUGCUUUAUAUUCAUCAUUUAUAGCCUGAGCAGUCCACUGGAGGGUGUUGAAAGAGGUAGGACACCAAGCCAGAUGAGGAAGAAGAGAUGGUGAGCUAUCAUUGUUUCUCAAGUGAAAAAAAAAUAUAUAUUAAUUAUUUAGAGUAAGUUUAAGGGUUGUAGUUUGAUAUUAAGGAGAAAAGCUGCAUUAAAACCAGAAAGAUGAAGGAAUAUUCCUUGUAAUGAUGUGCACUGGACUGUGCAAAAAGCAGUGAGCAUGAGGCAGGGAGAGCUUUGCUGGUUUACAUCACUCAAGGAGCUGUGCUCUUACCAAGAGUCUCUAGAGGUGGUAGCAGUAGUGAAGGAAGGGAUAGAAGUGCUCUGGGGUAAAACAGAGUGCUGUGGGUAAAAGCAGUCCUGGUGUAAAACCAGAUACUGUGCUGAGUCCCCUUCUUACUCUGUCAAGCCAUGUCUAAUUAAACAGCAAAGAGGAGUUAUCCAGAGUUAUCUAUUCUGCUGCUUUUAGUACAAAUGGGGAUGGCUGAAGUUGUCAGAACUUUCUAGGUGGUCACAGCCUUUCUCUGAGGUGGAUGUGUUUGUAAUUGAAUAACAGUUCUUCAGCACAGCAUCGUGUCUGGGAAACAGAUUAAUCCUUGUAUUGGCUGUGAUUCCUGCCCAUGCUCUGGGAGCCCAACAGAGGAGAGUCCAACACACACCAGCACCAUUCAGGUAAGAUUCAUGGGUUGGCAUGGCAUAAAAUACAGCUAAAGCAAAUGUUUUCAAAACUACUCACUGCUUUCAAGCAAGCUCUUACGCAAGGCCACUGAGAAAUUGUUAGUUACUGCUGCAUGGUGCAUUAAAUCAGUAGGACCUACCAUGAGCUCUGAGGUCUCCAACAGCAAAUCAGCACGGUGUGAAUCAUUGUGUUUUCCUUCUGGGCCAUCAGGCACCACGAGACAGAGUCUGAGUGUAUUUUCUGCCUGUGGUAAGAUGAAGGAUCUUUCAUCUUGUUCAUCUUCCAGUAUAAUUUAUGUUGGUUCAGAGUUGCUGGCUGCACUGCAUGAAUAAGAUGCCAUCUGAAACACUUUUGGCCGGUGCUCCUGGCACACGUGCAGGUGUGGACUUUGUGAUCUCCCCUGGCCUCUUGGUGGGCAAAAGGUCUCUGUCAGCAGGGGUGGUGCCAGCCCUGAAAAGCUGCCCAGCACAGACCCCAGGUAUUGGCACUGCCUGUGGAUGUAGCACAAAGGUGAGAUGUGACAGCGCAUCAGUUAGAAGAUUACAAAUUUUAUGUGAGUGGGGAGAGCCGUGGCACUAAUCACACUGCAGAGAGGUGGUUU
rnacentral:lncRNA from 1 species